UACGGAGGGGGCAAGCGUUAUUCGGAAUCAUUGGGCGUAAAGGGCGCGUAGGCGGCUUGGCAAGUCAAAGGUGAAAUCCCUCGGCCUAACCGAGGAACUGCCUUUGAUACUGCUUGGCUUGAGGCCGGGAGAGGGUAGCGGAAUUCCCAGUGUAGCGGUGAAAUGCGUAGAUAUUGGGAGGAACACCAGUGGCGAAGGCGGCUACCUGGACCGGUUCUGACGCUGAGGAGCGAAAGCGUGGGGAGCAAACAGG
rnacentral:rRNA from 1 species